rnacentral:rRNA from 1 species
GGUGCAUGGUUGUCGUCAGCUCGUGUCGUGAGAUGUUGGUUAAGUCCCGCAACGAGCGCAACCCCUAUUGUUAGUUGCCAUCAUUCAGUUGGGCACUCUAGCGAGACUGCCGGUAAUAAACCGGAGGAAGGUGGGGAUGACGUCAAAUCAUCAUGCCCCUUAUGACCUGGGCUACACACGUGCUACAAUGGUUGGUACAACGAGUUGCGAGUCGGUGACGGCGAGCUAAUCUCUUAAAGCCAAUCUCAGUUCGGAUUGUAGGCUGCAACUCGCCUACAUGAAGUCGGAAUCGCUAGUAAUCGCGGAUCAGCACGCCGCGGUGAAUACGUUCCCGGGCCUU